CCUACGGGAGGCAGCAGUGGGGAAUCUUGCGCAAUGGGCGAAAGCCUGACGCAGCCAUGCCGCGUGAAUGAUGAAGGUCUUAGGAUUGUAAAAUUCUUUCACCGGGGACGAUAAUGACGGUACCCGGAGAAGAAGCCUCGGCUAACUUCGUGCCAGCAGCCGCGGUAAUACGAAGGGGGCUAGCGUUGCUCGGAAUUACUGGGCGUAAAGGGAGCGUAGGCGGAUAGUUUAGUCAGAGGUGAAAGCCCAGGGCUCAACCUUGGAAUUGCCUUUGAUACUGGCUAUCUUGAGUACGGAAGAGGUAUGUGGAACUCCGAGUGUAGAGGUGAAAUUCGUAGAUAUUCGGAAGAACACCAGUGGCGAAGGCGACAUACUGGUCCGUUACUGACGCUGAGGCUCGAAAGCGUGGGGAGCAAACAGGAUUAGAUACCCUGGUAGUCCACGCUGUAAACGAUGAGUGCUAGUUGUCGGCAUGCAUGCAUGUCGGUGACGCAGCUAACGCAUUAAGCACUCCGCCUGGGGAGUACGGUCGCAGNUUAAAACUCAAAGAAUUGACG
rnacentral:rRNA from 1 species